UACAGAGGUCUCAAGCGUUGUUCGGAUUCAUUGGGCGUAAAGGGUGUGUAGGCGGCGCCGUAAGUCGGGGGUGAAAUUUCGGAGCUUAACUCCGAAACUGCAUUCGAUACUGCGGUGCUUGAGGACUGGAGAGGAGACUGGAAUUCAUGGUGUAGCAGUGAAAUGCGUAGAGAUCAUGAGGAAGACCAGUGGCGAAGGCGGGUCUCUGGACAGUUCCUGACGCUGAGACACGAAGGCCAGGGGAGCAAACGGG
rnacentral:rRNA from 1 species